rnacentral:snRNA from 1 species
GGACAUGAGGGCGAUCUCGCUGGGACAUCUGUCACCCUAUUGAUUACCAGGGUUGAUUCAGCUGAUUUGCAUGGCUAGGCAGGUGUCUCCUUUCGCUCUCACCACUCCGUAUGUGUCCCCACCUAAGCUGUGUGCUGGGUAGAAGAAAAUGACCAUCCCAAUAAAGGAAGACCAUUCUUUGGUCAAGGGUAUACAAGUAGCUAUGCUCCCCUGCUAGAACCUCCAAACAACCUCUCAAGAGCAAUGACUAUGGAGCCGGACACAGGUAACCCAUGCUAUCUACAUCCCUGGGCCUGACAGCCAUAUGGCAGGUGUCUGACAAGAG